GCUUUCGUAGCUAAAUGGUCCAGCAUUUGGCUGCUACCCAUACAAGUAUAGGUGCGAGUCCUGUCUAGAGAG